rnacentral:rRNA from 1 species
GAAUGCUGACAUAAGUAACGAUAAAGCGGGUGAAAAGCCCGCUCGCCGGAAGACCAAGGGUUCCUGUCCAACGUUAAUCGGGGCAGGGUGAGUCGACCCCUAAGGCGAGGCCGAAAGGCGUAGUCGAUGGGAAACGGGUUAAUAUUCCCGUACUUGGUGUUACUGCGAAGGGGGGACGGAGAAGGCUAUGUUGGCCGGGCGACGGUUGUCCCGGUUUAAGCGUGUAGGCUGGUUUUCCAGGCAAAUCCGGAAAAUCAAGGCUGAGGCGUGACGACGAGGCACUACGGUGCUGAAGCAACAAAUGCCCUGCUUCCAGGAAAAGCCUCUAAGCAUCAGGUAACAUCAAAUCGUACCCCAAACCGACACAGGUGGUCAGGUAGAGAAUACCAAGGCGCUUGAGAGAACUCGGGUGAAGGAACUAGGCAAAAUGGUGCCGUAACUUCGGGAGAAGGCACGCUGACACGUAGGUGAAGUGAUUUACUCAUGGAGCUGAAGUCAGUCGAAGAUACCAGCUGGCUGCAACUGUUUAUUAAAAACACAGCACUGUGCAAACACGAAAGUGGACGUAUACGGUGUGACGCCUGCCCGGUGCCGGAAGGUUAAUUGAUGGGGUCAGCGCAAGCGAAGCUCCUGAUCGAAGCCCCGGUAAACGGCGGCCGUAACUAUAACGGUCCUAAGGUAGCGAAAUUCCUUGUCGGGUAAGUUCCGACCUGCACGAAUGGCGUAAUGAUGGCCAGGCUGUCUCCACCCGAGACUCAGUGAAAUUGAACUCGCUGUGAAGAUGCAGUGUACCCGCGGCAAGACGGAAAGACCCCGUGAACCUUUACUAUAGCUUGACACUGAACAUUGAGCCUUGAUGUGUAGGAUAGGUGGGAGGCUUUGAAGUGUGGACGCCAGUCUGCAUGGAGCCGACCUUGAAAUACCACCCUUUAAUGUUUGAUGUUCUAACGUGGACCCGUGAUCCGGGUUGCGGACAGUGUCUGGUGGGUAGUUUGACUGGGGCGGUCUCCUCCUAAAGAGUAACGGAGGAGCACGAAGGUUGGCUAAUCCUGGUCGGACAUCAGGAGGUUAGUGCAAUGGCAUAAGCCAGCUUGACUGCGAGCGUGACGGCGCGAGCAGGUGCGAAAGCAGGUCAUAGUGAUCCGGUGGUUCUGAAUGGAAGGGCCAUCGCUCAACGGAUAAAAGGUACUCCGGGGAUAACAGGCUGAUACCGCCCAAGAGUUCAUAUCGACGGCGGUGUUUGGCACCUCGAUGUCGGCUCAUCACAUCCUGGGGCUGAAGUAGGUCCCAAGGGUAUGGCUGUUCGCCAUUUAAAGUGGUACGCGAGCUGGGUUUAGAACGUCGUGAGACAGUUCGGUCCCUAUCUGCCGUGGGCGCUGGAGAACUGAGGGGGGCUGCUCCUAGUACGAGAGGACCGGAGUGGACGCAUCACUGGUGUUCGGGUUGUCAUGCCAAUGGCACUGCCCGGUAGCUAAAUGCGGAAGAGAUAAGUGCUGAAAGCAUCUAAGCACGAAACUUGCCCCGAGAUGAGUUCUCCCUGAGACUUAAAGUCUCCUGAAGGAACGUUGAAGACGACGACGUUGAUAGGCCGGGUGUGUAAGCGCAGCGAUGCGUUGAGCUAACCGGUACUAAUGAACCGUGAGGCUUAACCUUACAACGCCGAAG